UGUGUCCUGGGCAGAUUAAGCUGAAGGGUUACAGUUUCUGUAAUACAGCCUUCUGCAAUUUGAACUCCAAGACAAUGUUUUCCUAUAACCAGUGUUCUGGCCACUCUUAUCAAAGGGAAUCAAGGAUGGUUCUUUAAAUAUAACCUCAAGUCUUAUCCUCCAGGACCAUGGUUUGAUGACCCGGACCUAGGAUGAAGAAUGACCGGUGCUUGCUGGAAAGCCUCAUGUUGUUGACAACCGAUAGUUAAAGUUACUGCCUGAGUCUUUGAUGCUCCAACCAAAGUUGCUCCUCUGGAGGUCGGGGUCAAGGUAACUGGGACCUAAAGACCCUGUGGACUUGGGAGUGGUGUCAGCCAGCUGCUAAGACAGAAAAUAAGGACUCUUUAAAAAGACCCCAUCCUUCUCACAUGAAGGAUUGUGGUCCGUCAUGGACCAACAAGUGAGAGUCAACCGAAAACCUGAAGAAAAAGUACAAGUCGGUGACCUCAAGAUCUGAGAGCAGGUUGAGAUGAGGUUUGAGGAAGUUUCUCCAAGUACGAAGUUGAGGAAAGAGCAUGGAGAAGAAGAGUGUCCUGAAGCACCACUGAUAAGGGUGCCCAGUGUGUGUGUGUGUGUCUCUGUAUGUGUGCAUGUGAGUGCACACAUACACUUGUAAUUUCCUGUGAGACAGAGGGAAGAACUAGAGAGAAGGCAGUUCUGCCAGCAGUCUAACCCACACAACCUAACCUUAAUAGAGUGGGGGAAAGAGGAUUAAGCAUUCCUCCCUUUCAAUAAUAUGACUUUGAUCUUCAUAAUCAGUUGUGAGGCCUCUACGAGAAACUACGAAUUUUGAUCCUUCAAAGCUGGGAGGUGAGACUCCUGUGGGACUUCUCAGUGGUGAGGAAGGUGGUGCAGGAAGCCAGUGUCUCCACAGGACAGCCUUUGCUAAUUAGGUAGAUAUCUGGAUGGACUCCUGGUUACCUGAAGACAAACCUGGAUAUUCCUCAUAUGACAAAGGGGCACUGAUCUUGGAAAUGAGCCAGAUUCCCUGACCAAGGAUGGAACUCAUGCCCUCUACACUGGAAACUCAGCAUCUUAACUACUGGACUGCCAGAGACCCCCAGGGAAGUCCCUCCCCUGUUCCAUUUUGAAGCAAUGUAAAUAUCCUCUAUCAGAGGAGUAGACUAUGAUUCCAUUAUGAAAUGUUAUGUGGAAACUAAUCUCAUAAGGGUAUAAGACUGUAGCAACAAGGAGGUCUAGGUAAGUGUCAUAAUGAAUGUCAAAUGAACAAAGCCAUAGAGGAGACACUCUGGGUCCACCCAUGUCUCUUAAGGGUUUUCAGUUAUUCUAACCAAUUUCCAGCCACCAGGCUGAACAUCUCUGAAUUGGGGAGCUCUUCCCCAAGCACCCCCAAUUAUGGACAUACACACAGUUGAGAUUACCUCCUCUUUUCCACCCCACACCAGUCCUUAAGCAGUGGCCAUGGGUAGUCGAUGUACAAGUACCCUACCUCCAGUACCCCUUUGAGCUGCAUGUUUAGCAUUGUGUUCCCAAAUUUCCUUGGGGAUUAAGCUUCUAUUGCUUGAUAAGGGUGCUCUUUCUUGGCUUCUCUCCUUCACUGUAUGGAUUCCCCAUGCUCCCAGUGGUAUUGUCUGUACUCCUCAAAUAAACCACCUUUGCAUGACUACUUUGUCUCAAGAUCUGCAGCACAGGGAAUUGUAGACACAUCCCUGUUUUUCCCUAUAGACGAUGUGUGCACACACAGGCCAGGAAGAAAGGGAAAAACAACAAUGGCAGGAGUUUGACUGAGGAUGGUGAGAGUAUGUUAGGUUUUUCUUCCUUCUGUUUUCUAAACUUUAUGUCCAGUUGUUAUAUGAGUGUAAACAUUUUUUGUUUCAUAUUUUUAAGCAAUAGUAAGAACAUCUGUGUUCUUAUUCCCUCAAAUUGCCUCAAAUUCCCAUGCCCUAGGUUGCAAACAGACAUGAGAAAUAGCUGUUAAGGAAAUGGGUUGUCCACAGCACAGUGUGUCGUAAGGAAUGCAAGGGUGAUGGCACAGGGGCCAGUGAGGUUUCUGAAGCCAGAGCAUGACCUUUUAGAAACCAGACCUCAGUCUGGUCCACAGGUAACAUCUCCACCAAGUCAAGGUUUGCCUUGUUCAGUGCCCGAAGUACAGCAGCGUCUAUUUUUUUCAAAGAGCAAACUGGAUAAAUGCAAACAUAUUGUAUUCAUUCCUUUUUUUUUUUUUUCUAAAUUCCAAAUAACUAAGCAUUCUCUUUGGAAAGUUUCUUCUCCGGUAAGCAAAAUCAUUUGUGUUUUAAAAUUGUGGUCUGUAGUUUAUAUGAUCAACUUUUAUUUUACUGAGCUGUCUGCCAUGUAAAACCUAUUUUUAACCUGAAGAGGUGCCUCUAGAUACAUAACAGCAGACUGUAGAAGUGAACAUUUUACUUUAUUUUCCCACCAUUUUCUUCUUUAAAACUUCUGAUGGGAAAAAAAAAAAAAACACACACACACAAUACAUACAGGCAUGUGCAAUUGAUUCUGUCGUAAAGGGAAUUUAGGCCCCAAACCAAGAGCUAAAGGGAUUGUAAGGUGUAAAGCCAAACUAUUUGGACAUGUCAUCUCUGAGAUAAAUACUGUACCCAACAAUUUUUUUUGAAAUGGG